CAUGAAGAUGACCUCUUCUGUGGUUUCCCUGGCGGAUCACGGUGCAUGGCGCCACCUGCUGUACCGGAGCGACAUUACCUCACUACGUGGCCUCAGUGGUCAAAACUGGCACAAAGGUUGGAUUUGUUUUGUUUGAAUAAUGGUAAGAUGACCAUCAGUGGACUAUAUAUAGUAUAUAGGGAAUAGGAGUAGUUAUAUUUUACAUGACAAAAUCACCAAUGCACAUGUUAAUCUGUUGACACUAAAAGUAUAAAGGCUACUUGUGUAUCUGUUAUUGUCAUUUGUAAUAUUUCUGUUACCUGGCUAGGGACUACGGAUUUAAAUUAGCAUGAAUAUGAAUAUUAUAUCAAAUGUCUGGCAAUAGAAUUUCCUAAAUGUUACAUACUAGACUUUUAAAUAAAUGUUCAAUGCCCAAAGAGGUAAAAAAAAAAGCAAAAAAUCUGUACAGAAAUUAACUCAAAUUCGUAUUUUACUUUCCCAUUAAUCAUAUUAGGACCCCAAGUUAUAUCUUGUGACCCUUGAGGGGCCUUGAUCCCUACUUUGGUAACCACUGGACUAAACUACCAAGCUGUAUAUAAAAAAGUUAAAACUAGCUAUACCUUGACCAACAGUAACACACUACUUCCAGUAUACACUGAUGCAUCGGUAAAGAAUAAUGUCAUAUGUAACAAUACAUCAGUCCCAGGGACGAAACAAGUUCUUUACUUUAAGUACAUUUUGGUGCUAAUACUUCUGUUCUUUUGCUUAAGUAGAAUUUUUCUCCGGCAGGACAUGCAGUAUAAUUUUAUAUUGCUCUUUCUUUUUUUGAAGGAUCUGAAUGCUUCUCCCACCACUGCUUAUUUAUUAUCGUUGCAUAUUUCAGGUGGCGUACAGACUUCAUGAUUUUUGUGCUAAUUACUGACCAGCACAGAGUUACAUGAUCACUUCUCAUGGUGAGAACACAACAAAGUGGGCCAUCUUGAUCCCACUCACGUCUUGCAACAAGUUGCGUUUUGCAUAAAGGAUCUCCCAGUAGGUCUGUGGAAUAAGAAGGAAAAACUGUCGCAGCUGCAGCCCAUGUGAAUGUGGUUGGAAAGACAUGAUGCAGGGGAGGAAAGAGACAAAAUAGGAAGCUGGUAAUAAUAGUAUUUCAUUGAUGAACUGCACGUCAGCCAAAGUUUACUCACAUGAGAGCCAGACUACCUGCGUAGACACUUGCCUAAGAAAGAAAACAGCUCACUGGAAACAGCAAAUGAAUCCGGACAGCUGAAGACAGACAUGGGAAAGGGGGUCGAGAGAGGGGAUGACACGCAGCCUUGGUACAUGGGGCGCCAGCUCUACCAGGUGCAAGAAAACUGACAAGACAGUGACAGAGCUGUCGAUCACGCACUGUGUGUACAUGCAGAGUCCUGAGGAGAGCUCUAAUUAACCAACUUCAGUGAGUGAUGGGAAAAGUACUGAAGCGUAAGAGGAAUCUCAUUAUGACCUGGCUGCACUUCCUGAUUCUUACCAGCAGAGGGCUCCAGCAGAUACAUGAGGUGACCAUGAUGCCGACCAGCUGCACCACCAUCUCUAUAUCAUGGGACUUGGCUGAGUGAUGGGAGCCGGGCUUCCUCCUGAGCCGAGCGAGCACCAGCGUCAGUCCGCUGAUGGUGUUACACACCAGCGCUACAGCUAGCGAGGUCAGACCUAGUCCGGAGAACAGCACCACAAACGCCACGUCCACCUCCUCAGUGUCACUGAGCACUUUAAUGAAGCACCAGGUCCCUGGGUCCUGAUAGGUGUAAGAGCCCAGUUGAAAGCACGGCAACAUGGCCACACACAGAGCUGCCAGCCAGAUGACACACAGGCAGAUCUUUGUGCGGGUUUUGGUGACCAGGGAUGAGUGCAGCAGUGGCUUAGUGACACCCAGGCAGCGCUCUGCAGCCAUGGCACAGCCCAUGAACAGUGGGCACAGGCCAAAGAAAACCAUACUGCCACCCAGGAACUGACACAUCCUGUCAGAAGAGUUGGAGUCCUCAUGGUGCACACCUCCGGACAGGUAGAGUCGGAGAACCAGGGCACCAGGGAUCACGUGGCCAAUGAAAUCUGUGACCACCAGUGAAGAGGCAAACAGAAGGAACGUGGCUUUGGUCCGGCGGCGCUGGAGGGAGUACGCAUUGGCCAGGAUGAUAAGGGCCACAAUGUUGGAGAUGAUGCCCAGUGUCAUGGACAGUAUUACGACAAUGACGCCUCCGGUGGUGGGCUGCCCUGGGGAGAAGUUUGGCUGAUCUGUCACCCCUUCGACAGUCACCCUGGCCUCCAACUUCCCUGCGCUGUCAUUAGAGAAAUGAGGAAAGAGCGGGGAGGCUGAGGAGUUGUAGUGGCUCAAAGCUAACAUCACUGAACCCUGAAGGUCAUGAGGUCCGUAGUUAAGGGAGGCUGCAAGAGAAAGAAGAUCACGUCUGUACAGAGCAAGGAUCAACAUAAGUAAAAUAUACCGUAGUCACAUCUGUGGGUGACUUUGAAGCAACAUGUUAGACAGCGUUCUCCACCGCCAUCGUCCCAACACCAAAUGAGGGAAUAUUUUUUGGAAGAAUGGUAUUCAUUCCCUCCACAUGGAGAAUCUAUGACAAGGAGCACUAAGCCGUUCUGGCAGGCUGAUUUCAGCUCAACACCAUAAGAAACUUUAUGUUGUCUUUUAAUUUGAUUUGUAACCCAUAUGUAUGUUUUCCUUAUACUGUUUAAAAUUAAGAUUUGGGGACUUCUAAUAACUAAAUGAGUAACACAUACUACGACAAAUUCUUCACAGAUGACUGAAGAUCUGACUAACUGACUAGUUUACAUGGAGGACACUCAAACACAGGACACAAAGAGGACAAUCCUCCCAGCAAGCAAUAUAUUAAGACACACUAGGCUGAACAAUAUGAUAUACUGUUUUAGCAUCUUUCAUUAUAAACAUAUAGAAGAUUAUUUUACUAUGAAGAUUCCCCUUAUCUGCUGUUAUUGUCUAAAUUGAACCUACAAGACGAUUAUUUCUCCCCCGAAUGAGUUUUGAAUGUUUUGAGAAUAUCAACUGCUGACAAUGUUUUAGAUCUGAUUAUCAUCCACUGAAUCAACCUAAUAGCUGAUUUUCAUACCUAAACCAAUCAUGUUGUAUGUAGACCUCAGAAUAUGGCCUUCUUAUCCUGCUUUAACAAACUUUAUGUAUUGCCCAUUCCUAUGUAAGUUCUCACUGAACAGUUUGCCAGUUGUGGAUGAAAUGCCAUUAGAUGGUGCAUUUGCACUAUAGGUUGCACCCGUUUGCAGAAUAUUGUGCAUAAUGUACAUUAAAAUUAUGAUCACAGUUAUAAAUCAA